rnacentral:rRNA from 1 species
UACAGAGGUCUCAAGCGUUGUUCGGAUUCAUUGGGCGUAAAGGGUGCGUAGGCGGCGGUGCAAGUCCGAUGUGAAAUACCGGGGCUCAACCCCGGAACUGCAUUGGAUACUGCAUUGCUAGAGUACUGGAGAGGGAACUGGAAUUUACGGUGUAGCAGUGAAAUGCGUAGAGAUCGUAAGGAAGACCAGUGGCGAAGCGAGUUCCUGGACAGUUACUGACGCUGAGGCACGAAGGCCAGGGGAGCAAACGGG